GCCAGACUCCUACGGGAGGCAGCAGUGGGGGAUAUUGCACAAUGGGGGGAACCCUGAUGCAGCGACGCCGCGUGGGUGAAGAAGCGCCUCGGCGCGUAAAGCCCUGUCAGCAGGGAAGAAAAUGACGGUACCUGAAGAAGAAGCCCCGGCUAACUACGUGCCGGCAGCCGCGGUAAUACGUAGGGGGCAAGCGUUAUCCGGAUUUACUGGGUGUAAAGGGGGCGCAGACGGCGAUGCAAGCCAGGAGUGAAAGCCCGGGGCGCAACCCCGGGGCUGCUCUGGGAACUGUGCGGCUGGAGUGCGGGAGGGGCAGGCGGAAUUCCUGGUGUAGCGGUGAAAUGCGUAGAUAUCAGGAGGAGCACCGGCGGCGAAGGCGGCCUGCUGGGCCGCGACUGACGUUGAGGCUCGAAAGCGUGGGGAGCAAACAGGAUUAGAUACCCUAGUACAA
rnacentral:rRNA from 1 species